GAUUUUGGGAGCAUGUACCUGGUCAUGCCUUUUGUUGCCUCUCAGUUCCGGUAAACUAAAGAACCAUAGAUGGAGAUGCAUUUCCUUGUCUAGUGCACACUUGUAUACGUGCUAGAAUAGACCAGGAGAUUCUUGGAGCUGCCUUUUUUACUUAUAAUGUGCUACUCUUGGACCAACUGAAUCCUACUGCAAUUCUCCAUGGAUAAUCAGUAGCUUGGUAAUAUUCGUGCAGCCCGUUUGUGAGGGCAAACAUUGCUGAAGUGUAAACACAAUGCAUUGCACGAUAUUUCUCUUGGGAAAUUAGCGCAACAUGGACACAAAUUCAAUGAAAAGUAUAGGGGCAGAUGAUCUGUGAGUUUCUGCAAAUGCAGAAGAAGCAGGUGCAGGACUGAAAUUUUACAUCCAUCUGAGUUUUUCUUGUGUUCACAAGGUUGCAGUCUUCUUCUGCCACUGUUCCUGUCGGCAACAUCAGCAAGAAAUCAAAUAUGGCCAGGAAAGUUCCUUCGCUAUUUGGAAAUGACAGUGACGAGUAGGCCUAAUCUUUCCUUGCCUGACAUGAUGACACACACACAUAAGGGGAAAUGUCCUCCCUGUAGGUUCCCGUAUACUAUCCCCGAGAACUUGUCAUUAUGGUACGCGUUAGCGUGUUGCUUUUCAAAUGGAGGGCCACUUGGCCCAGCUUUAUAAAUAAAGCAACCACCACUAUACAAAGUGUAGAGAUCAGAGGCGGCGGCUAACCUUGUGGGUGGAAGCUCACUCUCUAUUCUGUCUAGGGUUACACGGUACUGAGGUGAGAAUAUAUAUAGCUCAGCCACAUACACAGCAGAUGGGCCACAUGGGCCAGAAACAUAAAGCCCAGUAACGGUUCAACACUCCCCCUCAAGAUGGGUGAUAUAUAUCUAUCAUCCCCAUCUUGUCACAAGCCAAGUUGCAUUCCUUUGUUCCUAGUCCUUUUGUUAAACAAUCUGCAAUCUGCUGUCUAGUGUUCACAUAAUCAAUCUUGAUAAUUCCAGCAUCUAAUUUCUCCUUGAUAAAGAACCUGUCAAUCUCUAUAUGUUUGGUUCUGUCAUGUUGGACUGGAUUGUUUGCUAUAUAUAUUGCUGACUUGUUAUCACACCAAACAUUUAAAUGACCAUCUCUUAGCACCUUCAGCUCACGUAAGAGAUUUUUUACCCAUAGCAUAUCACUCAAUCCUUCAGACAUGGCACGGUAUUCAGCUUCAGCGGAUGACUUUGAUACAACUUGUUGCUUUUUACUCCUCCAUGAUACUAGGUUACCUCCAACAAAUACACAAUAUCCUGAAGUUGACCUCCUGUCAUCAAGACAACUUGCCCAAUCAGCAUCACUAUAACCAUCUAUUACUAGAUGUCCAUUACUUCUGAACCAUAACCCUUUUCCUGGAGUUCCCUUUAGGUACCUCAGAAUUCGAUGUACUGCAUCUAGGUGACCAGUCCUUGGUUCAUGCAUAUAUCUACUUACAACGCUCACUGCAUAAGCAAUGUCUGGCCUUGUAUGACAUAAAUAUAGCAACCUUCCUACAAGUCUUUGAUAAGUUUCCUUUUCCACCAAUUCUCCA